GUAUGCACCUCUUGCGAAAUGAAAUUUCCUAUACAAAACCUAUGCAUAAAAAACGUCGCGAAAUGUUCGCGAAAAAUUUUUUCGUUUCCAUUUCGUAAGCGGUACGCAGCUCUCGCGAAAACGAUAACGAAAAAUGUAGUUAGCUGAGACACGGUUCGACAAACGAUAAGUUUCAUAAUACUUCCGCGAGACAGCGCUGCUUUCUAUUCGCUGUCACCAAGGCAAACUUUUUCCUUGCGAAAUAAUGGUCAGCGGUAUUAUUUCGCACGGAGGCUCGCGAAAUUUUGACAGGUUGCAAUGAAAAAAUAUAAGAAAACACAAGAUUGGUAAUUUUUUGUAUUUUUUUCAUCGCAACCUGUCAAAAUUUCGUUGUUUAGAAAUUCAAUAUUUCGAAUUUGAAUGAUCGAACACCAACAACAUAAUAUGGUAAUCACCCAGCAAGAGAACGCAGUGAUAAUGGGCCAACAGAAACCACAACAUCAAGAUGCUCGGAAAGGACUUUCUCUUUCGAACAAACAAUGGCACGUCAUGUUCAAUCGGCUAACCGUUUGGAAUAAGCGCUUAUCAUCGGUUUCAUGGCAGGGAAGUGAGCAGGUAAAAGAAGGCAUCGUUUUUUCCGCAAGGUCGCUCUGGUCAAAAUUUCAGCGGAUUGCAAGGAAUAAACCACCCGAGGGACAGUACCCGUGCUGAUUCAGGACGAUUACCCAUACUUUGUACCUUGCUAUUGAAUUUUAAUACCCGAUCGAAACGAUGGCAAGCGCUGCCGAUAACUGGGUCAAAAAGACAACGGAUAAAGAAAUUUCUGCACUCGGUUAGCGAACUGAGUACAUAUCACCAAGGAUAAGGAUUCAGAGCCGGCGGCUGGCAAGAAAGAGAAUGCGGAAAAACCUAGUCCACCGGCAGUAGGACCAAAGCUGCACCUGAUGUUUGGAGUUCGGUAGCUUCGGAAAUUCUAACUCUAGCAGCUCCUGAAGAAAAACAAGCUGCAAGAGAAAAUGGAGAAACAGCUUCCUCCGCGGAAGAUGCAGAGGCAUUCAACCCGGCGGAUGCAAGUUUGCUAAUGAAGGAUGUUCGCUAAGAUCUAGUAGAAUCAAAGCUGGAUCUGAAGGUGCAUCGGAAGGAUUCUUCUUCGUCGGUUGGUUGGUUAAAACUUUCGAAGCUUUGCACAUGAAGCCGGAAUUACUUCAGGGAGUCUAUGCGAUGGGUUUCAACGCCCCUUCCAAGAUUCAGGAGAUGGCUCUACCUACUCUGUUGGCCGGUCCGCCAGGGAAUAUAAUCGCCCAGUCAGUCGGGAACAGGAAAAACCGCUGCCUUCGUGCUGGCAACGCUCAGUUGAGUCCAUCAGUUAAAAAACUAUGUGCAGGUGAUUUGCCUUUCCCCCACGUAUGAGCUGGCAAUUCAGAAGGGGGAAGUAGCUGCCAAAAUGGUAAAGUUUUGUCCUGAAAUCAAACUUCCUUACGCCGUUCGCGGUGAGGAGACCGUCAAAGGGGCGAAGCUGACUAAUCAUAUCAUCAUCGGAACACCCGGCAAGCUAAUGGACUGGGGUAUAAAGUUCAGGACGUACGACCUAGUUUUCCCUUUUUGUACUGGACGAGGCGGGUGUUAUGGUCGGUGUUCUUCUUGGCCACGUACGAGCGCGAGGUGAUAGUUUGCCGAGUACAUCCUACCCAAUCCGAUCGUCAUUUGGCAGGCGCGGGAGCAAGAAUCUCUCGAUAACAUCAAACAGUACUACGUCAAGUUCCGCAACCAGGACGAGAAAUUGUGUGAUUACCGUCGGACAAGCGAUCAUUUUCUGUCAUAUGAUGUAUAGGACAGUUGCAAACUCCAAGUAAACUUAUUUUCAGAACUGUUAAUCCAUCGAAACAGGUACGCAAAACGGCCGGUUGGUUGACCGGCAGGAUGUCCCAGGAUGGUCACUCGGUAGCGGUACUGUCCGGUGAUCUAACGGUGGAGCAACGGUUGGACGCCCUUGAUCGAUUCCGAACCGGACUAGAGAAGGUACAGAUUAUAACGAACGUUUUGUCCAGGGGUAAGUUCCACCACUUGAUUCUGGCUACAGCACCAGGUUACGGAGAGAUUCUUUCAUCUUAGGUAUCGACGUCGAACAGGUGACCAUUGUCGUCAACUUCGACUUGCCGAUGGAUCAGCAGGGACGAGCCGAUUGCGAAACGUAUCUACAUCGAAUUAGACGCACCGGUAGAUUCGAACGGAAUCACCAUCAACCUAGUGGGCAGUGAUCGAUGCAUGAUGAUUUGCAGAUCAAUUGAAAAACACUUCCGGAAAAAGAUUCAGUUGCACCGUAAAGUGUUUUCGACCAGCUACUAGUGAAAGGCGUAGGAGCUUUUUUGGGUGUUUUGAUUCUGAAUUUAUAAUUUUAUUAUUUUUUUUUUAAUUUUUUUUUUCUUCCUUGACCUGACAUAAGGUAUACAAAUGUAACUAACAGGGUAUCGUAAGCUAAUAAAUUUACAAUUACAAUUACAAUUUAGCUCUACCCAGUUCUAUCCAAACAUUUGAAAAGGGCCUAACUGCAAAAUGUAACAAAUGGAAAUUUCAUGUUUUCCAUUAACAAAUAUCUACCCGAGCACGUACAUAACGCAACAUUUGAUUAUGAAGAAUUUUGAUAGCGAUUUUUCAACAAUUUAUAAAAGGGCAUUUGUUAGAAAUAGGAUGUAAUUCAAGGAUUGUAUAGCGCAUGUUUAAUGGUUAUAACUUUCAGUUAAAUGGACUUUUAAGAACCCGACUUUGUUUUUUAUUUUAUUUUGUCGUUGAACGGCCAGUAGAGAAAGCGGUGGAAAAAUUAUCCGAAAGACUAACCUUGAAGCAGAAGAUAAAAAAUAUUUUGCUCAUUAUCCUGUGAAUCAAAAUUCCAAGAAGACAAAACAUAGCUAUAAAACACAAUAAGAUAUCUUAACUGAUAUAUGCUUUGAAGCGAUUCAAGGCGAAAGCGACUGGGUUUGAAUUUAGUAUAUUUUUACAUUUAUUUAUUCCUUCAUUAUUUACUUAUAUCAAGCAAACUUAUUGAAAAGGUCCUAUGUGCAAAUGAGAGCCUCUCUUUGUUUACUUUCUCUUCCGCUAAUAACUCGGUCGCAUUUGCGUUUGCUGCUUAACUCUUUGCAUAAUAUGCUAGUCAAAACCAUGCUCUUCCAAUAUGUAUUGGAUCAUUAUUGGAAAGAUUAAUGGUAAUGCCGUGAUAAUCGGAAGAGAAAGUAAACAAAGAGAGGCUCUCUUUUGCACAUAGGUCCAUUUCAAAAAGUACGCGAGAUAUGUUCAUUUAUUUCUGGGGAAAAUUUUCAUUAGGUCGUAUCGUAAGUAACAAUGUUAUUCUUUUUAUUUACUUUUUACUCUGUAAUAAACCAAGCCGCUUAAACAUU